rnacentral:rRNA from 1 species
UACGUAGGGCGCAAGCGUUGUCCGGAAUCAUUGGGCGUAAAGCGCGUGUAGGCGGCUCGAUAAGUCCGGUGUGAAACCUUGGGGCUCAACCCCAAGCCUGCACUGGAUACUGCCGAGCUAGAGUGCGGUAGAGGAUGGUGGAAUUCCCGGUGUAGCGGUGAAAUGCGUAGAGAUCGGGAGGAACACCCGUGGCGAAGGCGGCCAUCUGGACCAGCACUGACGCUGAGGCACGAAAGCGUGGGGAGCAAACAGGG